rnacentral:rRNA from 1 species
UACGUAGGGGGCAAGCGUUGUCCGGAAUUAUUGGGCGUAAAGCGCGCGCAGGCGGUUUUUUAAGUCUGGUGUAUAAACCUUAGGCUCAACCUGGGGAGGCACUGGAAACUGGGAGGCUGGAGUGCAGGAGAGGAAAGUGGAAUUCCACGUGUAGCGGUGAAAUGCGUAGAGAUGUGGAGGAACACCAGUGGCGAAGGCGACUUUCUGGCCUGUAACUGACGCUGAGGCGCGAAAGCGUGGGGAGCAAACAGG